GUGCUUGAUUUUGGCAGCACAAAUGCUAAAAUUGGAAAGGCAUAGAGAAGAUUACCAUAGUCUUCUGCGAGGAUGACAUGCAAAACCAUGUAGUGUUCUAUAUUAAA